rnacentral:misc_RNA from 1 species
GUAACAUGUAGAGGAGGAUUCUAUUAAUAAUGAGAAAGACUUAUGAAGAGGGAUAAAAGCAAUGCUCGACAUGAGAACAAAAGAAACUAUGGAAGGAACACAAUAUAAUUUUGCUAUCACUAAGGAAAUAACAAACAUAAAUAAAUUAUAUUAUUUCCAUUUUUUCCUACAGGUGUAUAUGCACUCAUUGUUUGUCUUUCACAAACGUGUGGUCACACACUCACACACACACAUCGUUUUCAGGUUGUAGACUGGAAGAUAAUCCCUUACCAUUUUUUAACUAAUUUUAUUCACAAUAUUCUCUUCCCAUUUUUUUCUGCAUGUUUAGUGCCUGGCAUUUUCUUUAUAUCAUUUGCUUUGCAUGAAUAGUUGUUUCCUAAAUGUACACUCAAAAUGUGAAAUUAAGUAAGCUAUUGCUUGUAGACAGAGAAAUGUGGAGCUGGG